CAGUAGCCGCGGUAAAACGAGGGGGGCAAGCGUUGUUCGGAAUUAUUGGGCGUAAAGCGCACGUAGGCGGAUUGUUAAGUUAGGGGUGAAAUCCCAGAGCUCAACUCUGGAACUGCCUUUGAUACUGGGUAUCUUGAGUAUGGAAGAGGUUAGUGGAAUUGCGAGUGUAGAGGUGAAAUUCGUAGAUAUUCGCAGGAACACCAGUGGCGAAGGCGGCUAACUGGUCCAUAACUGACGCUGAGGAGCGAAAGCGUGGGGAGCGAACAGGAUUAGAUACCCGCGUAGUCCCUGUCUCUUAUAC
rnacentral:rRNA from 1 species